CUGGUAAAGAACUAGGGUAUAUAUAAAAAAAAGUGUUCAUUUCUAUUUAACUCUGCACUUUUUCCGCUUUAUUUAAACACUUCACAAAGCACUUCAGCAAGGUUCGGCAAUUUAGUGCUUUGGAGUGCAACCUUAACCAAUGCUCUUUAACAUUGCAGGCAGCAACUGUCUAGGACACGCUGCACAUUACAAACUGCAGCAACAGACAUCAGUUUAAUCGCUAAACAAGGAAUGGUUGCGACCAGUGACUUGUAAAUUUCAAGACAAAAGACAUGAAAAUACAGCAACUCUUUCCCAGAUGUGCUUUAUUGAAUUUGCACUUCAGCUUUGUAAAUAGACCCC